rnacentral:rRNA from 1 species
GUGAACGUUGGCGGUGCGCCUAACACAUGCAAGUCGAGCGGAUGACGGGAGCUUGCUCCUUGAUUCAGCGGCGGACGGGUGAGUAAUGCCUAGGAAUCUGCCUGGUAGUGGGGGACAACGUUUCGAAAGGAACGCUAAUACCGCAUACGUCCUACGGGAGAAAGCAGGGGACCUUCGGGCCUUGCGCUAUCAGAUGAGCCUAGGUCGGAUUAGCUAGUUGGUGGGGUAAUGGCUCACCAAGGCGACGAUCCGUAACUGGUCUGAGAGGAUGAUCAGUCACACUGGAACUGAGACACGGUCCAGACUCCUACGGGAGGCAGCAGUGGGGAAUAUUGGACAAUGGGCGAAAGCCUGAUCCAGCCAUGCCGCGUGUGUGAAGAAGGUCUUCGGAUUGUAAAGCACUUUAAGUUGGGAGGAAGGGCAGUAAGUUAAUACCUUGCUGUUUUGACGUUACCGACAGAAUAAGCACCGGCUAACUCUGUGCCAGCCGCCGCAGUAACAC